GAGUGGGGGACUGUCCGUUGAGGGCUGGAACUGGGAAGUAUAAAAUAGCUCCCAUUUGUUUCACCAUCUCUCCGGGAGGCCGGGCGGGAGGAGAUCGAAGUUGAUUGAUAGGUUGAUCAGACGGUGAGGACUGGAGGCCAUGGCUUCUAGCUCUUCCCUCACAGAUGCAACCGUCCCUCUCCUCCCCCAGCAGUCUCCUCCUCCUCCUCCGCCGCAGUCGGAGUCCAUCGUGAUAGCAGAGCACGAGAUCCACAUCGCAUCGCCGGCUCGGGGCCUCUGCAGCUCGGAGCAACCAAAACCAAGCGCUAGCGAUGGGAGCCGGCGGUUGGCUUCGCUCGAUGUCUUCCGCGGUUUGGCCGUCGUCCUUAUGAUACUGGUUGAUGAUGCUGGAGGAGCCUUUCCAUGCAUUAACCAUUCACCUUGGUUUGGUAUCACUCUGGCUGAUGUUGUGAUGCCAUUUUUCCUCCUCAUUGUUGGCCUUUCUGCGGGACUGGUAUUCAAGAAUGUAUCCAACAAACCUGCUGCUACACAGAAGGUUGUAGUAAGGUUCAUCAAACUUUUCCUCUUGGGUUUGUUGCUGCAAGGUGGAUACUUUCAUGGGCUUAAUAAUUUGACUUAUGGGGUCGACAUAAGGCAUAUACGUUGGCUUGGUGUUUUACAGAGGAUAUCUAUUGGAUACCUGGUUGUUUCCUUGGCUGAAAUUUGGCUUGUUGGAGAUAUGACCGUGGACUCAUUUAUGGCAUUUGUGAAGAAAUAUUCUACGCAAUGGAUCCUUAUGAUUUUACUUUCUUUAACAUAUGUCUCAUUAUUGUAUGGGCUUUAUGUUCCCAAUUGGGAAUUUGAAAUUAUGUACAAGGACGCUGCUUCAAACUUGAAUGGCACAAUUCAAACACAAACUGUUCAAUGUGGGUUUAGGGGAAGUCUUGGACCCCCUUGCAAUGCAGCUGGCUUUAUUGAUAGACUUCUACUUGGUGAAAAUCAUUUGUACCAACAUCCAGUGUACAGACGUACAAAAGAGUGUAGUGUCAAUUCUCCCGAUUAUGGACCCCUUCCUCCAAAGUCACCUAGAUGGUGCCUUGCACCCUUUGAUCCAGAAGGAAUCUUGAGCUCCUUCAUGGCCAUUGUAACUUGUUUCAUUGGACUCCACUAUGCCCACAUCAUUGUGAACUUUAAGAGCAACAGAAAGAGGACGGUCUUCUGGAUAUCAUCUUCCAUCAUACUUCUUGUUUUUGGAUGUAUCCUUUAUGUUUCAGGCAUGCCGCUAAGUAAGCCAUUGUAUACACUGAAUUAUAUGUGCAUCACAACGGCACUCGGGGGUUUUCUUUUGACGAUAAUAUACCUUAUUGUUGAUGUCAAAGACAUAAGGUGGCCAACAUUAUUACUGCAGUGGGUGGGAAUGAAUGCACUCCUUGUAUAUGCUUUGGCUGCAUGUGAUCUAUUUGCUGCAGCUCUCCAAGGCUUUUACUGGCGUUCACCUCAGAACAAUUUGGAUUAAACAAAUGGGCUGAUUAAUUAGUUUCGCAGCCUUAGUCAUAAGAAGCCUUGGCAUUCUAUCAUUAGGUCCUACAGCAGGCUGUAGUAUGAAAACGUGUACUCCCUGAAAUAUGCACAUGGAAUCAUGGAUACAUCCCCAGCCGUUUGAGGCCUCUCAUGUAGAGUUAUAUUUACAGCUUUGCUUCACAUGAAAGGCAUCUACUGGAAGAUGUAGCUACUGUAUAUGUGUCGACACAAGUAUACAGUGUAAUUAUGUUCUCUAAUUUGUCAAUUCUAGUAUAACUUUUUCU